rnacentral:tRNA from 1 species
GGAGAGAUGGCCGAGUCCGGUUGAAGGCGCUCGACUCGAAAUCGAGUAGCGGUUUGUAGCCGCUCGUGGGUUCGAAUCCCACUCUCUCCGCCA